AGUGAACGCUGGCGGUAGGCCUAACACAUGCAAGUCGAACGGCAGCACAGUAGGAGCUUGCUCUUACGGGUGGCGAGUGGCGGACGGGUGAGGAAUACAUCGGAAUCUACUUUUUCGUGGGGGAUAACGUAGGGAAACUUACGCUAAUACCGCAUACGACCUACGGGUGAAAGCAGGGGAUCUUCGGACCUUGCGCGAUUGAAUGAGCCGAUGUCGGAUUAGCUAGUUGGCGGGGUAAAGGCCCACCAAGGCGACGAUCCGUAGCUGGUCUGAGAGGAUGAUCAGCCACACUGGAACUGAGACACGGUCUAGACUCCUACGGGAGGCAGCAGUGGGGAAUAUUGGACAAUGGGCGCAAGCCUGAUCCAGCCAUACCGCGUGGGUGAAGAAGGCCUUCGGGUUGUAAAGCCCUUUUGUUGGGAAAGAAAAGCAGCAGGUUAAUACCCCGCUGUUCUGACGGUACCCAAAGAAUAAGCACCGGCUAACUUCGUG
rnacentral:rRNA from 1 species